CAGUGAACAGCUAUGGUCGGUACAGCAGUCACUUUCAGCCUCAGUGUCACCGCAGCCAUAGUAGAGCGGGCUUUGAUAUGUCUGUGACUAUAGCAGGAGUGUUUGAAGAGACUGAGAGUGGAGAGAGGUGGGGGUCAAGAAAGGGAAGCCAACACCACCCCUUCUCAUAUCCCGCUUCAAUCCCCCACCCCACCCCCCCGCCGCCCCGAUCCCAGCUUUAAAUGGGCUUGUGCAGUCGAAACCACCAGUUUGGGCUUCACCACAGGUUCAGCCUACAAUGUGGACACUUCAAAGACUUCAAAGCUGUUCUAUUUCAUCUAAACCUUCAAAAUAUAGAUCCUAACAGGAAUUCAAGACAACGACUGCAGUGGUUUCAUCUAUGAACUCACAUUUAGCACUGGAUUUCUUUAUGAGCCACUUCAGGAGACUAUGGCUGAGGCUGGAGAAAAGGUGGGGACGCAUUUGGAUGGGGUUCUCUUUUCCUUCUCAUCAUAGAUCCAGCAUCAAACAGCUUGACUAAUUCCGUAAGUCUGACAGAGCUUUCCUCCAGUUCGGCUGGAUUUUCUAUGGUUUUACUGAAUCCCACCCACAGAUGGCACGGUAGCACUCGAUUGCAUUCUGAUGGCUGCUGCAAGCUUCAUGUACCAUUCCAUAUUUGGUCAGGUCCUGCGCCUCAAAUCCUAAUAGUGCUGCCCCAGAUACAGCACAGCUGCCCCGAUUCCUCUCUCAAGAAUAUGAAAAGAUCUCCAGAAAGGAGGUCCUCCUACCAGCUCGUGCCUCUUCUCUUCCUACUCAGCCAAGAACUUAUGUUCUGCCUCUUGCCUGGUCCAGCUUCUCAUCUUUUCCCAACAUUUUGUGCAUCUUCCUCUAUUAGGAC
ensembl:lncRNA